rnacentral:rRNA from 1 species
AUCGAACGCUGGCGGCAGGCCUAACACAUGCAAGUCGAACGAGUGGCGGACGGGUGAGUAAUGUCUGGGAAACUGCCCGAUGGAGGGGGAUAACUACUGGAAACGGUAGCUAAUACCGCAUACCAUCGGAUGUGCCCAGAUGGGAUUAGCUAGUAGGUGGGGUAAAGGCUCACCUAGGCGACGAUCCCUAGCUGGUCUGAGAGGAGGACCAGCCACACCGGAACUGGGACACGGUCCAGACUCCUACGGGAGGAAGCAGUGGGAAAGAUUGCACAAUGGGCGCAAGCCUGAUGCAGCCAUGCCGCGUGGAGGAAGAAGGCCUUCGGGUUGUAAAGGACGUUCAGCGGGGAGGCGUUACCCGCAGAAGAAGCACCGGCUAACUCCGUGCCAGCAGCCGCGGUAAUUC